rnacentral:rRNA from 1 species
UACGAAGGGGGCUAGCGUUGUUCGGAUUUACUGGGCGUAAAGCGCACGUAGGCGGAUCGUUAAGUGAGGGGUGAAAUCCCAGGGCUCAACCCUGGAACUGCCUUUCAUACUGGCGAUCUCGAGUCCGGAAGAGGUGAGUGGAACUCCUAGUGUAGAGGUGAAAUUCGUAGAUAUUCGCAAGAACACCAGUGGCGAAGGCGGCUCACUGGCCCGGUACUGACGCUGAGGUGCGAAAGCGUGGGGAGCAAACAGG